UACAGAGGUCUCAAGCGUUGUUCGGAUUCAUUGGGCGUAAAGGGUGCGUAGGUGGCGGGGUAAGUCGGAUGUGAAAUCCCGGGGCUCAACCCCGGAACUGCAUUCGAUACUGCCUUGCUCGAGUACUGGAGAGGAGAUUGGAAUUUACGGUGUAGCAGUGAAAUGCGUAGAUAUCGUGAGGAAGACCGGUGGCGAAGGCGGAUCUCUGGACAGUUCCUGACGCUGAGGCGCGAAGGCCAGGGGAGCAAACGGG
rnacentral:rRNA from 1 species